rnacentral:rRNA from 1 species
GAUGAACGCUAGCGGCAGGCCUAAUACAUGCAAGUCGGACGGGAUUCCGGAGCUUGCUUCUGAUGAGAGUGGCGCACGGGUGCGUAACACGUAUGUAACCUACCUUUAUCAGGGGGAUAGCCUCUCGAAAGAGAGAUUAAGCCCGCAUAAAAUCACAGCACAGCAUUGUGUAAUGAUCAAAUAUUUAUAGGCUCAAGAUGGGCAUGCGGAACAUUAGCUGGGGGGCGGGGUAACGGCCCACCAUGGCGACGCUGUUUAGGGGAUCUGAGAGGAUGGCCCCCCGAACGGGGACGGGGACACGGACCCGACGCCUACGGGAGGCAGCAGAAAGGAGUAUUUGGCAGUGGGCCGAAGCCUGAACCAGCCAGUCCGCGUGCAAGAAGACGGGCCUGCGAGUUGGAUUCUGCUGUUAGACAGGAAUAUAACCAGAUACGUGGAUCUGGCGACGUGACCUGUAAGAAUAGCAACGGCCAACUUCGUG